UGCGUCUUAGCUCAGCUGGGAGAGCAUCUGCCUUACAAGCAGAGGGUCAUAGGUUCGAGCCCUAUAGGCCCCA
rnacentral:tRNA from 1 species